GAAGGACUGCGCAGUCACAGUGUUUGCUGAGACCUUUGUAAAUUUCUCCUGUUCCGAGAACUUCAAGUCACUGUGUCACCUGGAAAGCCCAGGUGAGUGAGCCAGCAAUGCUGCCAAUGACCAGGAGCCUGUUUAUUCCCUGCUUCUGAAGGCACGCUGGGUCCUGUAGCCCCUUCCAUUGGAGAGUGCUCUUGGCCCGUCUCUGCAGAGUCCUUCAGCUCAGCCCCAGGUGGGUAGCCCGGGUACCACCAGGCAAGGCUGCUCUCAACAACCCAAACUCACACUCGGGUUCUGCUGUCCCACGGAGGAUGAGUCUGCGCUUUCCGGGAUAAUGAAACUUGAUGGAUACUUACCUGUUUGUGGUGCAGAAACUUUCACGCCUGUGCUGCAGGAAUAGAGGCAGAUGGCAGUGGAUGCAAGAGGGCCAAUGCAAGCCUUUGGGGCAGGCUGCCCGGCCAAGAGAGGGGCCCUGGCCCUAACAGAUUGGCUUUGAAUCCUGGCUCUGCUCUUUUACAAACUAAAACCUGAAAAUGAGUCAACUGCUGUAAACUUUGGCUUUACUCAUCUGUAAAAUUAUAGUGAUUGUUGGCGGCUAGUGUGUCACCCAAAAGAUAUGUCAAUAUGGCCUUAUUUGGAAAUAGAGUCUUUGCAGAUAUAAUGAAUAUGUAAAUUAAGAUAAAUCAUACUGGACUACAGUGGGCCCUAAAUCGAAUGACUGGUAACCUCAUGAGAAGACGAGAGGACACAUAGGGAAGAAUGGGGCAGAGAUCGAAGUGAUGUGUCUGUAAACAAGGAAUGCCAAGGAUGGCCGGCAUUACCAGAAGCUGGAGGAAGCAAGGAAGGAUCCUUCCCUGAGCCUUCAGAGGGAGUGUGGCCCUGCUGACACCUUGAUUUAGGACUUCUCGCCUCCAGAACUGUGAAAGAAUAAACCUCUGUUCUUGUAAGCCAACCCGUGGAGGAUCCUUUGUUAUGGCAGCCCAGAGAAACUCAUUCAGUGAUGAAACCUAGUUCACAGGCUGGUUGUGAGGAUUAAGUGAGAUUACAUAAGUAAAUGCUUAUUAAGUAUUAAAUGUCAUCCCUUUUUUUCCUCUUCCCCAGAGACUGGAAAUAUAAAUGAAUCCAGGAAAGGUUUUGAUAGCCCUGCUGUCACCUGAGAACUCAAAGGGGCGAGCUCCUGGGCUUUGAUUAAUUUGAUUUAAAAUGCACAGCCAAACGACGCAUGGCUGCGGGCUGCAUCCCUCCUACAUCUCUUGCCUUACAGGAAAGAUUCUGGGUCUGAGCUGGUGACUGGAUGCUUCCACUGGUCCAAGUCCCAGCCGG
rnacentral:lncRNA from 1 species